rnacentral:misc_RNA from 1 species
CUUCACCAUAUCCUCCGACAAAACUGACCAAAUCAAGAUAAGAACAAUAUCAGGUAGCACCAUGGAGUUGAUUGUCAGUGCACGAAAUAGCAAAAAUAAUAAUCUUCAGCAGCCAAAUUACAGAAUAACUUCAGUGUCAAUUUUAAGCACACAUUGCUUACCACAGUCCAUAGCCAACCAACAAGAAUCGAUAAAUAAAAUUCAUGGAAGAAGGGGUGUCAAGGGAGCACUGAGCAUAGGCUUACAUUGGUAUACCAUAACGGAUGAAGGGUAUAGUUAUGUAUGUAGGCUCGGUGCUAACAGACUCUCUGAGCUGCUCGCCAAUAAGCUUUCAAAUUAAUUGGCGGAUCUAAAAGGUGCGCAUGUCUACGACUACGAUUGCCACUUUGAAACGCAAUAGCAGCCGGAUAUUUCGGGACCCGUGUGGGGAACCGCAAAUCUGCAACACCAAGCUGCAGACUCUAGCUCCGCCAUGAAGCAUGGCGAACGUAGUAGCUACAGGCUUACAGUAUGCAAAUAACAGCAGCUCGUGAGUACUGAAGGGAGACGUACGGGAGUUGCCGCAGCCGAGCAUCA